rnacentral:rRNA from 1 species
GGAACCUGUUUUUUAAUCGAUAAGCCACGAAUAAUCUUACUUGCUAAAUUUAAUCUAAGUUUGUAUACCGUCAUUAUCAGAUAAUAUUUGAAGAUUCAUUAUUAAAUUUUAAAUAGUAAGAAAAAUUAGAUCAAGGUGCAGCUUAUAAGCAAGAUAAAAUGGGUUACAAUUAAAUAAAUAUAAAAUGAAAUUCAGCUUGAAAAAGGUGAAGGAAGGAGGAUUUGAUUGUAAAGGGAAUUARUAAGACAAAAAGAUAUAAGCUCUAAAUUGUGUACAUAUGGCCCGUCGC